CCUACGGGGGGCUGCAGUGAGGAAUAUUGGUCAAUGGACGAGAGUCUGAACCAGCCAAGUAGCGUGAAGGAUGACUGCCCUAUGGGUUGUAAACUUCUUUUAUAUGGGAAUAAAAUGUUCCACGUGUGGGAUUUUGUAUGUACCAUAUGAAUAAGGAUCGGCUAACUCCGUGCCAGCAGCCGCGUUAAUACGGAGGAUCCGAGCGUUAUCCGGAUUUAUUGGGUUUAAAGGGAGCGUAGGUGGAUUGUUAAGUCAGUUGUGAAAGUUUGCGGCUCAACCGCGGAACUGCAUUUGAAACUGUUUUUCUUGAGUACCGGAGAGGUCAUCGGAAUUCCUUGUGUAGCGGUGAAAUGCGUAGAUAUAAGGAAGAACACCAGUGGCGAAGGCGGAUGACUGGACGGCAACUGACGGUGAGGCGCGAAAGCGUGGGGAGCAAACAGGAUUAGAUACCCUGGUAGUC
rnacentral:rRNA from 1 species